UGGUUUAGUCCAGGUCGAUACCACAGACCUGCUACUGGCUUCCUGGAGGAGCGUCUUCGGAACGUGCGCAAAAGGGUCAGAAAAGGAAGAGAAAAUCGAGUUUCUCCAGAUAACCCAAGAGAUAGCAGUAGUUUUAUUUUGCCAGAGUCAAAUGUAGAUGUAGAAAGAGCUACUCAAAUGACAAAGUGGCUUAAAAAUAAUAUCUGGCCACUAAGUCAGGUUGAGCAGUACAUGAAGGAGACGUCUAUCCAUAGGGCCAAAUGGAUUCGUGAAAAUGGAACAAAGACAAUCAGGGAAAUAUUCAAGGAGUAUCCACGUCUCCUCGACGCUCCAGGCAUGAUCCCAGGAUUUCUUAAUUUUGAAUCCAGACUCCGCUUCAAAGCUCACCGAAAAUUGGGUACAUGUGUUUAAGGAUAAGAUUCUGCAGUUUGCCAGCAGAGAGAAACAAUCUCUUGAUCUACUUUCCGGUGUAGAAUUGAUGUCAGCAGAGAAGCAGAGUGAUGUCGCCUUGCAAGUACUUCCUGUAGUCCUUCCAACAUCAGUGUACAAGAUUGGAAGGAAAACGUUUAAACCAACUUUCAUAGAAACCCGGAAGUCCUUUAUAGACAAACAACCUAUUGGGACCAAUAUGGCUGAGUACCUGCGAUCAAAAGAGACAGAAUUUCUGCAUGUUCUCAUGCUUGGAGAUAACCAGUGCUUUCAAGCCUUUGCCAUUAUAAAUGGAGAGGCACUCGAGCAAACUACAUUGCUUGCUGCAGUUGAUGUUUGCUUCAAGGCAUUCUACGUAUUUGAUAUAGACUACCCAAAGCAGUGUUCCACAGUGUGGCAGUUUUUACAGACUGUGGUGUAUGGACUUUCUGGGGAUGAAACACCAACAAUAAGAGUUUUGCGAGCAUUCAUUUUUGCUGACAAACAGUAAUUUUUGUUAUUACUGUCUGUGAC